rnacentral:rRNA from 1 species
AGUGAACGCUGGCGGUAGGCCUAACACAUGCAAGUCGAACGGCAGCACAGUAAGAGCUUGCUCUUACGGGUGGCGAGUGGCGGACGGGUGAGGAAUACAUCGGAAUCUACUUUUUCGUGGGGGAUAACGUAGGGAAACUUACGCUAAUACCGCAUACGACCUACGGGUGAAAGCAGGGGAUCUUCGGACCUUGCGCGAUUGAAUGAGCCGAUGUCGGAUUAGCUAGUUGGCGGGGUAAAGGCCCACCAAGGCGACGAUCCGUAGCUGGUCUGAGAGGAUGAUCAGCCACACUGGAACUGAGACACGGUCCAGACUCCUACGGGAGGCAGCAGUGGGGAAUAUUGGACAAUGGGCGCAAGCCUGAUCCAGCCAUACCGCGUGGGUGAAGAAGGCCUUCGGGUUGUAAAGCCCCUUUGUUGGGAAAGAAAAGCAGCAGGUUAAUACCCCGCUGUUCUGACGGUACCCAAAGAAUAAGCACCGGCUAACUUCGUA